GGGUCAGUAGGUUGGUCGUGCCACCGGUACGUACUGGUCUCACUGAUUCCUCCUUUCUGAAGAACCGUAAUGCCAUUAAUUUGGUGUUGCGGGGAAACAGGACUGUUACUUUGAAAAAAUUAGAGUGUUUAAAGCAAGCUAACGCUUGAAUACAUUAGCAUGGAAUAGUGAAAUAGGACGAUCGAUCCUAUUUUGUUGGUUUCUAGGAUUGACGUA
rnacentral:rRNA from 1 species